CCCCCUGGCAAUGGGCAAAGAGACACCUUGCUGAUGUUGCUCUUCUAUCAGUCAAAGGCAGAGCAGAUGGCAGUCCUUUGUUCAUCCUAGCUUGAUGCCUGGCAUGGUGACCAAAGUUGUCUUAUGCCUAGAACACAUAG